rnacentral:misc_RNA from 1 species
GAUGAAGAACGUAGCGAAAUGCGAUAAGUAAUGUGAAUUGCAGAAUUCCGUGAAUCAUCGAAUCUUUGAACGCACAUUGCGCCCCUUGGUAUUCCGAGGGGCAUGCCUGUUCGAGCGUCAUUAUAACCCCUCAAGCUCAGCUUGGUGUUGGGGCCUGCUGCACUGGCAGCCCUUAAAAUCAGUGGCGGCGCCAUCUGGCUCUAAGCGUAGUAAUUCUUCUCGCUAUGGAGUCCUGGUGGAUGCUUGCCAUCAACCCCUAAUUUUUCUAUGGUUGACCUCGGAUCAGGUAGGGAUACCCGCUGAACUUAAGCAUAUCAAUAAGCGGAGGA